rnacentral:rRNA from 1 species
UACGUAGGGUGCGAGCGUUGUCCGGAAUUAUUGGGCGUAAAGGGCUCGUAGGCGGUCUGUCGCGUCUGCUGUGAAAACUGGAGGCUCAACCUCCAGCCUGCAGUGGGUACGGGCAGACUAGAGUGUGGUAGGGGGAGACUGGAAUUCCUGGUGUAGCGGUGGAAUGCGCAGAUAUCAGGAGGAACACCGAUGGCGAAGGCAGGUCUCUGGGCCACUACUGACGCUGAGAAGCGAAAGCAUGGGGAGCGAACAGG